UACGAAGGGUGCAAACGUUGCUCGGAAUCAUUGGGCGUAAAGCGCACGUAGGCGGCGCAGUAAGUCGGACGUGAAAUCCCUCGGCUCAACCGAGGACGUGCAUCCGAAACUACUGUGCUCGAGUAUGGAAGAGGGUCGCGGAAUUCUCGGUGUAGAGGUGAAAUUCGUAGAUAUCGGGAGGAACACCAGUGGCGAAGGCGGCGACCUGGGCUAAUACUGACGCUGAGGUGCGAAAGCGUGGGGAGCAAACAGG
rnacentral:rRNA from 1 species